GACGUAGGGCGCGAGCGUUGUCCGGAUUUAUUGGGCGUAAAGAGCUCGUAGGCGGCUUGUUACGUCGACUGUGAAAACCCGCGGCCUCAACUGCGGGCCUGCAGUCGAUACGGGCAGGCUAGAGUUCGGUAGGGGAGACUGGAAUUCCUGGUGUAGCGGUGAAAUGCGCAGAGUAUCGAGGAGGAACAGCCGGUAGGCGAAAGCGGCGUCACUGGGUCUCUCUGACGCUGAGGCACGAAAGCUAGGGUAGCGAACAGGG
rnacentral:rRNA from 1 species